AUUGAACGCUGGCGGCAUGCUUUACACAUGCAAGUCGAACGGGGUGAGGAGCUUGCUCCUCAUCUAGUGGCGAACGGGUGAGUAAUACAUCGGAACGUACCGUGUAGUGGGGGAUAACGUAGCGAAAGUUACGCUAAUACCGCAUACGAUCCACGGAUGAAAGCAGGGGACCUUCGGGCCUUGUGCUAUACGAGCGGCCGAUGUCUGAUUAGCUAGUUGGUGGGGUAAAGGCCCACCAAGGCAACGAUCAGUAGCGGGUCUGAGAGGAUGAUCCGCCACACUGGGACUGAGACACGGCCCAGACUCCUACGGGAGGCAGCAGUGGGGAAUUUUGGACAAUGGGCGCAAGCCUGAUCCAGCCAUGCCGCGUGUCUGAAGAAGGCCCUUCGGGUUGUAAAGGACUUUGUCAGGGAGCAAACCCAGCAGCUAAUAUCUGUUGGGGAUGAGAGUACCUGAAGAAUAAGCACCGGCUAACUACGUGCCAGCAGCCGCGGUAA
rnacentral:rRNA from 1 species